rnacentral:rRNA from 1 species
UACGAAGGGGGCUAGCGUUGCUCGGAAUCACUGGGCGUAAAGCGCACGUAGGCGGCUUGUUAAGCCAGGGGUGAAAUCCUGGAGCUCAACUCCAGAACUGCCUUUGAUACUGGCGAUCUCGAGUCCGGGAGAGGUGAGUGGAACUGCGAGUGUAGAGGUGAAAUUCGUAGAUAUUCGCAAGAACACCAGUGGCGAAGGCGGCUCACUGGCCCGGUACUGACGCUGAGGUGCGAAAGCGUGGGGAGCAAACAGG